CCUAAUUUUCUUUCAUUUUGAUGCUUAAUUUGUAAAUUUUAUACGCUAUAAAAAUUUGGAUGAAGUUAUACGUAUAUCUCUUACCAGAUCUCCUAAUGUAUAGUUGGAAUUGACAAGGGAGUUAUCAACAUCAAAUACAAAGUACCCGCAGCAUCUACAUCAAGAAUCUACUAAGUGCCGAUCUGUUUUAAGUUUAAAUAUUUGCAAGUGUUGGUAAAACAGCCGGAAUUAUAACAACAAAGUCUAUAAAUUGUCUAUAAAUUCUUUAUUGCAAGAUUGGAAUUACGCAAACAUUAUCAUAAACUAAACGUUAGUUAUAUAUGGAAUAAUUUGCUACAGAUAAUAAUCUCCCAUUCGGUGGAUGACUAAUCAACAAAACAUGCGUACCGGUUAUGACUCAUGUAUAAAGGUCUUUGAGACUCAUAUUAUUUAUAAAAAAUUUUGUUGCUUAUUAAAUUCUGAGAAAACGAAAUGAGUAUAAUAGGAGCGGUCGGGUCUACAUCUCGAAAUUACUGUCACGACGAAAUGGCAUUCAAACUCACCACCUUUAUUUGAAUUUCACCAUUUAUAAGAAA